UGGGGAAUAUUGGACAAUGGGCGCAAGCCUGAUCCAGCCAUGCCGCGUGAGUGAUGAAGGCCCUAGGGUUGUAAAGCUCUUUCACCGGUGAAGAUAAUGACGGUAACCGGAGAAGAAGCCCCGGCUAACUUCGUGCCAGCAGCCGCGGUAAUACGAAGGGGGCUAGCGUUGUUCGGAUUUACUGGGCGUAAAGCGCACGUAGGCGGACUUUUAAGUCAGGGAUGAAAUCCCGGGGCUCAACCCCGGAACUGCCUUUGAUACUGGAAGUCUUGAGUAUGGUAGAGGUUAGUGGAAUUCCGGGUGUAGAGGUGAAAUUCGUAGAUAUUCGGAGGAACACCAGUGGCGAAGGCGGCUCACUAGACCAUUACUGACGCUGAGGUGCGAAAGCGUGGGGAGCAAACAGG
rnacentral:rRNA from 1 species